rnacentral:rRNA from 1 species
GUGUCAGCAGCCGCGGUAAGACGAACCGUACAAACGUUAUUCGGAAUCACUGGGCUUAAAGGGUGCGUAGGCGGCUCAGAAAGUUGGGUGUGAAAUCCCUCGGCUCAACCGAGGAACUGCGCCCAAAACUACUGAGCUCGAGGGAGACAGAGGUAAGCGGAACUUAGGGUGGAGCGGUGAAAUGCGUUGAUAUCCUAAGGAACACCAGUAGCGAAAGCGGCUUACUGGGUCUCUUCUGACGCUGAGGCACGAAAGCUAGGGGAGCGAACGGGAUUAGAAACCCUCGUAGUCC